rnacentral:rRNA from 1 species
UUACACAUGCAAGUCGAGCGGUAACAUUUCUAGCUUGCUAGAAGAUGACGAGCGGCGGACGGGUGAGUAACGCGUAGGAAUCUGCCUAGUAGUGGGGGACAACAUGUGGAAACGCAUGCUAAUACCGCAUACGCCCUACGGGGGAAAGGAGGGGAUCUUCGGACCUUUCGCUAUUAGAUGAGCCUGCGUGAGAUUAGCUAGUUGGUGGGGUAAAGGCCUACCAAGGCGACGAUCUCUAGCUGGUCUGAGAGGAUGAUCAGCCACACUGGGACUGAGACACGGCCCAGACUCCUACGGGAGGCAGCAGUGGGGAAUAUUGGACAAUGGGCGCAAGCCUGAUCCAGCCAUGCCGCGUGUGUGAAGAAGGCCUUAGGGUUGUAAAGCACUCUCAGGAGUGAGGAAGGGCGUAUAGUUAAUACCUGUAUGUUUUGACGUUAACUCCAGAAGAAGCACCGGCUAACUCUGUGCCAGCAGCCGCG